CAGCCGCCGCGGUAAUACCGGCGGCCCGAGUGGCGGUCACUCUUAUUGGGCUUAAAGCGUCCGUAGCCGGGUUGGGAAGGCCUCCGGGAAAUCUGGCCGCUUAACGGUCAGAAUGCCGGAGGAUACUCCCAGCCUAGGGAGCGGGAGAGGCCGAGGGUAUUCCCGGAGUAGGGGUGAAAUCCUAUAAUCCCGGGAGGACCCCCUGUGGCGAAGGCGCUCGGCUGGGACGCGUCCGACGGUGAGGGACGAAGGCCAGGGGAGCAAACCGGAUUAGAUACCCGGGUAGUCCUGGCUGUAAACGAUGCGGACUUUGUGUCGGACAAGCUAUGAGCUUGUCCGGUGCCGGAGGGAAACCGUUAAGUCCGCCGCCUGGGGAGUACGGCCGCAAGGCUGAAACUUAAAGGAAUUGGCGGG
rnacentral:rRNA from 1 species